rfam:Ixodes scapularis strain Wikel colony gcontig_1107729028044, whole genome shotgun sequence.
CCCUGGUUAGCUCAGUUGGUAGAGCGCUCCACCUGUAAUGGAGAGGUCCCGGGUUCGAUACCCGGACCAGGUG